UAGACAAAGGGAUCUGAGUCAUUUAAAAGUGACUGUGUGUCAAGAUUUGUGCCAAGCUGGAGUUCCUAGGAAAAAAAAAAUAGCCAAAGAGUAUCCUGGUAGGAGGUUUUAAAGUCUGAUCAGCAAUCCUUUAAGAAAAUACUAAACUUGUCCUAAGGGUAGGCAGCUACUCCUUAGAGCAUGUAGUAUAAGGUAAAUUGGGGAGAGAGUAUUGCUUGCUCAGACCAGUGGCCUUGCAGCAGUCAGUUCUGGCUGACAAAGGUAACAGCCAUGAUGCUGACCCAGUGCCUGUUGGAACCAAGGAGUCAGCUUCAGCAGCAGGCAACAGAGCCUGGAGUGCAGCCCUUGGGCCGGAGCCAAGCGGAGAAGAGCGAGUUACCCGUGCUGAGACAAGAGGUUAACUUCUCAACCCAGGACAGGAAACCUAACAGAUGACACUGAGACAAAAAAGAAAGUAUGAGCCCUUCAACACAAACAUGUAAAUCCUCAAAACUACCUGAAGAUCGUGACAACAAUCUUCCACUCACACCUCCUGAAUUGGAAAAGGGAAAAAUCAAUUCACUCCUUGGUGGGUUUCAUUUUUACAGAUGGAACAUAAGAUUUGAAUUAAAUGCUAAGUAGAUAAGAAGUAUGUGGAAACUAUUUCAUUUGAUUAUAUCUUCUCUGUAAAAUGUGUAAAGAAAUAUUUGCCUGGAUUACUAUAAGUAUUAAAGACAAUAAAAAAA